rnacentral:lncRNA from 1 species
UCAGAGACGAGACUGUCAACCACGUAUCUCAGUGUCCAGUCAUCCAGUGGUCUUCCCACCACAUCAGAGAUGGGGCCUCACUCUGUCACCCAAGCUGGAGUGCAGUGAUUCAAUCACAGCUCCCUGUAGCCCCAAACUUCUGGCUCAAGUGAUUAUCCCACCUAACCUCUCAGAUAGUGGGGGCUACAGACAAGUACCACUAUGCCCAGAUUAAAUUCAGUUCCACAUGGCUGGAGAGGCCUUGGGAAACACAGUCGUGGUGGAAGGGGAGCAG